ensembl:lncRNA
GGGGAAUUGUUAUGGGAAGCACACUGAUUAAAACCGCCCCACCCUGGCCAGGCACCAUAAUAACCAUUUGCAUGAGUUGUUUAAUGACAGGAGAUCCUGAUAAAAAUUGCGGAACUAAUAAGCCUCCACCAACUGGAAGAGUUUGGGAAAGGUUUAAAGGAGACACCGCCUGUACAUUGUGAGCCACGCGGCAGAGCAGUUCUCCUGGGUUUCCUUACCCUGCUGCUCUCCACCUGGGUGCCCUUUCCCAAUAAAGUCUCUUCCUUUGUCAGCACAUAUGUCUCCUCGGACAAUUCAUUUCCGAGUGUUAGGCAAGAGCCCAGUUUCAGGCCCUGGAAGGGGUCCCUCUUCCUGCAACAAAUGGUGGCUCCGGUGGGAUUCUUCUUCACCAAGACUGACAUCCUGACUACUCGAGGUACUCAGGGGCCAGCUUGCCUGCCAAUGGACCAGACCCAAUGGCUGCAACCAGGACCCUUUUGUCCCUGGUCUCCUCCUGACACGGACAACUGGCCAGAGUGCCCUGACUGACUACAGAAAUGAUGUUAGACAUAGAGCAAAUUUCAGUGACUUUUUUAUUGGAAUUCAAAAUGGAUCAUAAAGCAAUAGAGACAACUCAAAACAGCAACAACAUAUUUGACCCAGGAACUGCUAGUGAACAGAGAGUGCUGUUGUGAUUCAAGAAGUUUUGCAAAGGAGACAAGAGCCUUGAAGAUGAGGAGCACAGUGAUCAGCCAUUGGAAGUUGGCAAUAAACAAUUGAGAGCAAUCAUCAAAGCUGAUCCUCUUAAAACUACCUGAGAAGUUGUCCAUGAACUCAACAUAGACCCUUCUGUGGUCAUUUAGCAUUUGAAGCAAACUGGAGAGGUGAAAAAAGCUUGAUAAGUGGGUGCCUCAUGAGCUAACUGAGAAUAAAAAAAAAAAUCAUUGUUUUGAAGUGUUCUCAUCCUAUGCAACAACAACAAACCAUUUCUUGACUGGAUCAUGACAUGAAAUUAAAAGUGGCUUUUAUAUGAUGAC